rnacentral:tRNA from 1 species
GGGAACGUGGCUCAAGGGUAGAGUGCUUGCCUUGCAUGCAUGAGGCCCUGGGUUCGAUUCCUCAGCACCA